rnacentral:rRNA from 1 species
UACGUAGGUGGCAAGCGUUGUCCGGAUUUACUGGGCGUAAAGCGCGCGCAGGUGGUUUCUUAAGUCUGAUGUGAAAGCCCACGGCUCAACCGUGGAGGGUCAUUGGAAACUGGGGAACUUGAGUGCAGAAGAGGAAAGUGGAAUUCCACGUGUAGCGGUGAAAUGCGUAGAGAUGUGGAGGAACACCAGUGGCGAAGGCGACUUUCUGGUCUGUAACUGACACUGAGGCGCGAAAGCGUGGGGAGCGAACAGG